CUGAAUCCUUGUACUUUGUAUGACACGUUUGCCCUUCUUUCCAUGAAAUUGGAACCCUAAUGAGGGCUGUUCUGUUCCGUACAUAGCGAGAGUCCUAAGACCAUCGACGCCGUGUUCCCAUCGUCCCUUCUCUUGACUUGAACGGGAAGCGAAGGCAGACCUAACCUGGACUGCUAACGGCGUCUUCUGACAAGACAAAGAGUAAUCACAACGUACAAUGCCUUUUGGUAAGAAGAAAAGCUCUUGGGAUCAAGAGGUACCAUUCUUAAAAGAAGAUAAAGUGCCCUUCUACACUAAUAUAUGCGCAGCUGCGGAGAUUCGCUACAGAAAAAAACCAGGGGAUACCAAAAAUUUGUCAAGAUGGGGAGAGGCUCUGAUGGGGUUGGCUGUGCUAAUGGAUACCGUAGAACCACAACAGCAGUACCUUCGAGAUGCAAUUAAAAAGUUAAAGGAGGCAUUAUCAAUUAAUGAGAAAGUGACUGACACUCAUUAUUUGCUGGGACUUGCUUACCCCACAAGUAUGGAAUUUUAACUAAAGAGUAUGAUAAGGCCCUUCCACGCUAUCAAUCUGCUUAUUACUCUUUCACCAAGGCUCACAAUCAGGAUCCUGAGAAUGAAGUUUAUUCUGAGUGGAUUAAGAUGUGUCACCAGUGUCAAAACUCACACGAGUCAUGGCAUGAUAUACGCUUAAGAAUUAUGACAAAGAGACCACUUAUUUCAUCAAGUGACGAGGAAGCAAAGGGAAUAUUGAAAGAGCUGGGCAUCUUUGGUGGGAUGGCGAUUGCAGUCGCUGUUGGCAUUCUUGCCAUGGGAUUUGGGCGCCUGUUGCGGCUUCUUUAAUUGGGCGCUUAACUUUAUUAGUUAAUGUGUGUUAAAGCUUAAAACUAUAUAUGCCUCUCUGAGUUGGAGUAUUUUUAUCUUUGUCUGUUUAAAUGUUGCUUAUUAUUUAAGAAUUUAAGACGAACAUUUUCGGGCACUCUGUGUGAAGGAGGACGCAUAUUUAUCUUGUUGGGA